CACGUAGUUAGCCGGGGCUUCUUACUCAGGUACCGUCAUUUAUUCUUCCCUGCUGAUAGAGCUUUACAUAACGAAUUACUUCUUCACUCACGCGGCGUCGCUGCAUCGGGGUUCCCCCCACUGUGCAAUAUCCCCCACUGCUGCCUCCCGUAGGAGUCUGGGCCGUGUCUCAGUCCCAAUGUGGCCGCCCGCCCUCUCAGGCCGGCUACUGAUCGUCGCUUGGUAGCCGUUACCCUGCCAACUGGCUAAUCAGACGCGGGCCCAUCGUAUACCGUCUCGGCUUUUCACACUCCAGUAUGCACUGCUGUGCGCUUAUGCGGUAUUAGCACCUAUUUCUAAGUGUUACUCCCCCUUGUAUACGGUAGGUUCGCCCACGUCGUUACUCACCCGUCCGCCACUAAGACUACUAUUUUCCUCAGACGAAUCCUCAUUCCAAUACUACUCCCCGUUCAC
rnacentral:rRNA from 1 species